UGAGCUGAUUGAUUAACUAAUUGAUAGUUUUAUUGUUAAUCGAAGAAUGGGAAAAUAGCAAAGGUUUACAUACUCGUUUACGCAUCGAGCCCUGCAUCCGCCCAGGGCUUCCAUUAUGAGCCCCACUGGUUAAGAUACAGUAUGUUAUGCAGUGCAAGUCAAUGAGCUGAAAGCCACAGGCUGUCAACUCACUGUCCAGCACAACUCUUAGACCAUUGAGAAAUUAGGUUUACACAAGGUUCUAUCGCACAGCCACAGGCUGGCAUCUGUUAAAUAUACACCCAGGAAAUUAUGUACUUUUUAAAAUUAUUGCUGUAUGAUAUAAUAUAGCCCAAUUAUUAUGUAUUACAAGCCCACUACCAACAGGUCGAUGUAUGCUUCUGCGCAGUGAUGUGCAAUUCUCCGCCAAGGGCAAUGUUUACUGGUAAGUGACCUCCAUGAGCAACCAUGACGCAUACAUUGUUUGACUAUUUAGCUUGUUAGCAUCUUUUGUUGCUAGUGAACAAUGCUAAUUUAACCCUUGUGUGGUGUUCAGGUCUGUGGGAUCGGUUUUCAUUUUUUAUUAAAAGAAAAAUGAUAUAAUUAAUUAUUUUUUCAAACUGAGACUCACUGGCUUUGGCUCAUUUUCUGUGAAGAACAUAUAUCAGAAUACAUAUUUAAUGAACACACACCAUACACCCCCCUACACAUUUCUAUUACAUAUAAUAUAUAAUAUAAUACUGAACAGAUGUUUAUUGGGAUCUGUUAAGUAUUUUAACAUAAAAGUGUUUGAUUGUGAGGCAUUAAAAGCCACAAAACACAAUGGGUCCAUCAGACCCACAAACACUGGCUGAGUAACAACAAUAUGAACAUUACACAAGGGUUAAAGAGAGAUGGAGUGGGAACUAAUUAAUGAGUUAAUAAAAUUGAUCCAAAAUCAGAGAAGAUGUUUCCGAAACUGAAUGAGAGGUACAUACACGGGAGACAACAGUGUACCUGGGAAUAGGUUGACUGGCAACUCUAAAUUGGCCCUAGUGUGUGAAUGUUGUCUAUCUGUGUUGGUCCUGCCAUGAGGUGGCGACUUGUCCAGGGUGUACCCCGCCUUUCGCCCGAGUGCAGCUGGAAUAGGCUCCAGCACCCCCGCGACUCCGAGAGGGACAAGCGGUAGAAAAUGGAUGGAUGGACGGACAAUGUGAUCUGUGGGCACAGAGAGUAGAAGCAGGUCUUCAGAGAGUGCAGACUAACUACUAUCAACAGUGAGAUGAUAAUGGUAUGGAAGGAGUGGUCCAAGGAUAGGUUUAUAAAUACAAGUUACCACUGCUUCAGUCCCUGGAAUAACUGCAAAGUGCAUCCCGGUGGAAAGUACAGUACAGGACAGGAUGGGUUAGCUAACCGUGGUUUAAAACGUUUUUUUUAUGAAACAGAGGCAUGGUAGCUGGAACAGCGCCACCAUCAGGUGAACUUGAGCAGGUAAACCUGACUGCCCAGAAGACACAAUUCAGGCAACAGAACAAUUGGCAGAGGAGCGCCGGAAGUUGGCAGACCCGUCAGCGAUCCUGUUCCGUCUCCCUGUAAAAACCACCAUAGGACUGCACAACACACAG